AUUGAAUUGAGUUUGGGGGUGGCCCUAGGUGGUACGCAGCGUCCCAGGCCGGUCUCUUAUGGGGCUUUACCCCCUCAGCCUGAGAAUGGCGCUCGCGACCUAUCGGCUUUGCCGGUCCUAGCGCUGCCGUUUUCUCUCUGACUCCGUACCCAGAAAAGUAGUGAUACUUAUUGUGACCUCGGACCGCAUUCCAAACUUUAAUUCCCAUGUAUUCCAUAAAUUUCGCAGACCUAUCUCCUUAGAUGAAGGCAUUCCCAGAAUAGCCGGAGAAUUAUGGAAACAGCCUCACUGUGGGGGUUGGUGAACACUACGAUGUAAUUGUAUGACCGAUAGUGAUAAAAUCGAAGAGGGUCGGCUGAAGAGGGUCAAGCCAGGGCUUUCCUUUACAUCUGGAAAAGUGAGGGCAAGCAUCCUGGAGGCACUGAAUCCAGAGCUGGCUGUGAAAUAUCAGGAGGUUGACUUGCAGAGUUGGAUGACAAAGUUCUUCAUGCUGCUUUUAUUCCUUUUGGAGACAUAACAGAUAUACAGAUUCCACUGGAUUGUAAAACAGGAUGCUGCAGCUGCUAUCGACGACAGGAUUCUAGAGAUCGACCACAUCACUCGGCUUUCAGCCCCUCCCAUCUUCAAGCCAGCAAUAGCCAG